UGCAAAUGAAAAGCAGCUAUUAUCCUCAAAACUAAAGACCUCGAUCUUACACGAUAAUUAUACCAGACAAUGGGUUUAAAUUUCCAAACAGUGGAUAUUAAUCCACCACACUGGAAUGCUCUCUAAAGGGUUCAAUGCUAGCUGACUCCUAUAUAGCGGCCUAAGGCAUAUGCAUCAGCUUUAUCGGGACGCAAUAGCUAUUGUACGCUGCUUUGGUAGGCCAUUAUUCAUUACUUUUACAUGCAACCCUAAAUGGGAUAAAAUUAUGCAUGAAUUAUUU